rnacentral:lncRNA from 1 species
GGCCGCUCCCGCGGCAUAUGGAGGUUCCCAGGCUAGGGGUCGAAUCGGAGCUGUAGCCACCAGCCUAUGCCAGAGCCACAGCAACGCAGGAUCCGAGCCACGUCUGCAACCUACACCACAGCUCACGGCAACACUGGAUCGUUAACCCACUGAGCAAGGGCAGGUACCGAACCCGCAACUUCGUGGUUCCUAGUCGGAUUCGUUAACCACUGCGCCACGACGGGAACUCCGUAACUCUUUUUUAGUAGUGAAAUGUUUAUCACAAUUUUUUUCAAAAAUAGACUUUAUCAUGUAAAAUUGAUACAGCAGAGUUGUUCUGGUUAAAGAUCCAUGUACGUGUGCCCACCUGUGUAUGUAUCCACAUCUGUGUGUGUCUGUGUCUGUGUAUCUGUAUGCUCUGUAUGCUUGUGUGUUGUGUCCGUCUAUGUAUAAAUGCGUUUGUUUAUACGUGUGUGGUGUAUAUGUGGCUAUGAGGCUGUGGGUGUAUGUAUGUGUAUUUGUGUGGUAUGUAUGUCUGUGGGUCUAUAUCAGCUUGACUAUAUUUGUGUCUGUAUAACUAUGUCUACAUUUCUGGGGAUUAUAUUGUGGUCUAAUUUGCAUUUAUGUGUGUCUAUAAGUGUGCGGUAUAUAUGAUGUAUUCAUGUGUAUAUGUAUGCGUCUGUGUGUUCUUCAUGUAACACAUAUAUAUGUCUACCUGUGGGUUUGUAUAAAUCUGUACAUGCAUGUAUGUGUAAGUCUGCGGGUAUGUCUGUGUGGCUAUAUGUGUGUAUAUAUUUGUGUUUGUGUGGUUGGGAGCAGGAAGGGGGCAAAGCUACCACUCUCCGAUUCCGUACUUUGUGCACAUCAGGAAGAGUUGCCCUCUCUGCUGGGGCACUCCACAGGCACAGAGCUUGGGUAGCAGAGUUGGGACUGGAUUCCAGCCUCCAUCAGCACUCUCAUCUGGCAUCCUGCAGAAGAAAACACCUUGGCAGGGGAGGAGGGCAUUUUGGAAGGGCUGGGAGUCCAUUCGCUCUCAUCUUUGUUAUGCAGGGACCUUCCCAAAGGAUUCAGUCUGAAAACUACCCAAACCAGUGUUCUCUGAUGGUUUCCAAAUGCCAUGAUUCUAGAGAAGUACAUGGCAGCAUUCCUCUAACUGACAUCCACAUACUGUACAGGCUCCAGGGGCAACCUCUGACUCAGCCCCUGAGGCCUUGAUCAUGAACUUCCAGCAGGCUGACUCCCAGUCCUUCUUUGGCCUUGUCAUCAUCUCUCUGCCCUGGACUCUCUUCUUCCACCUGUUUCCACACUGUAGAAAAACACUCAUUGGAGUUUAGGGUUGCACAUUGUUGUCAUGGCUCAUCGCAUAGUUUGCACUUUUGUUAAAAUGACUCAUGGCCAAGAGGCUGUGGGGUUGUGAUUGGGCCGUGUCAGGGGAGAAGGUCAUAGGUAGUGUACAACUCGUCAGGACAGUGAGGUCUUAGAACUGCGGAGUGGGUGAGCAGCUCACACCUGUAAGAGAAAACUGGUGCUGCAGGUUGAAAUCAGUGAAAUUAUUAGGACCUGCACUCAUUUGAAGCCUUUUAUCCAAUGUGAGCAUUUUUUCCAACUUUAGCUUAUCAGCAGAAACUCCCUCUUCAGCAGUUUGGCCUGUGGCAUCUUUCAACAGAUGACUUCUGGCAAGUUGCUCAGCUUUUGUGAGUCUCCGUUCCUUCAGCAGAAACCCCUACUUGCUCACGUGGGUGGUGGGAGGAAUCACUGUGACACUGCACAUGGCGGUGCAGAUUCAGUGUCCAGUAAGUGUUAGCACAGUCUUUCCUUUCCCUUUGUACCUGUACCCUCUCUCUUUCUCACCAUAGGGUGCCCCCAGCACUUUCUCUGUGCUUUAGUAUAAUACCAUCCAGCUGUGGAGCAGCACUGAGCAACUAUUUAGUAUCCAGUAGAUGUUGGGUAACUGAAGAGAUGAAGGCAGGCAGGCAGGAAGAGGGCAAGAGACAAAGUAAGCUGGAACAUUCCCCCAUCUUUGGAAAUGAGCUGCUGGCAUCCCUUAGAGACGAGAGUCUGUAAAAUAUGGCUCUAGGUGGUAGGGAGGAUGGGGAGCUCAACGGCCUUUCCAGUCAGUGGUUUCCCCUUACUGACCAUCUGUUGGGUCUCCAGUGAACUAUUUCAGUUAUUUUCUUCCUAAGAUGACAGUGUGGAUUUGGAAGAGAGAGACUGUGCAUGUAGUGGCACCUGUUCCUGCCAGAGUAUCAAGUUUAAGGGGAGGCUUAAAGGAGUCUAAGUUGAGAAAGAAAGGAAGACAGAAGAAAACAAGUUUGACUAGGAGUGAAGGACCCAGGAGGGAGGUAAGGGCUGUUACUGCCAUAAUUAGAUGACGAUGACAUACCUAUUACUACAGACCACUGUGCUAGUUGCUGAGAUGGUAAAGGAGAAGGCCUGGAGCUUGCCCUCCAUAGGCUUCUGAUCCAGGGAAUGGAACUGCGUAGAAGACGAAGAAGGAUGGAGCACUUACCAUCUGUUCAGUACCAGGGCACAUGUUUUAAGAUAUAGCUCAAGAAAUAAAUGUAUUUCUUCAAAGAAACUAUAGAGGGGUUAGGCAAUGUUUUCCAGGUCACUCAGCAAACAAGUGGGACAGAGAAGAACCCGGCUCUGUCUGCUCUAAUGACCUUGUGCUGCUCACAGGACUGCGAGCAAGGGCAACAGGGCAAGCAUGUAAAAAAGGAGCAUUAACUUUACAAGGUGUCCCAGGGUCAGCAGCACAUGAGUAAUGCAUGACGAUGAUUGCAGAAGCUUAGGAAACAAGAGAUGUGUUGAGGUUCCAGAGAGAAGGGGGCCCUCAACUAGACACCGAAGGCAGACCGUGAACCCAACAAAGGAAGCAUGGAGAGAGAGAAGCUCUCCAGGUGGAAGGAGGCAUAGUGUGUGCCAAGGUAGGAGGUGGGCUGUGCAGUGUGGCAGAGAGUGUAGCCUGCUCCGAACUUACUAAUAGUGUAGCCUUAGGCCAGUCCCUGAGUCUCUCUAAGCCUCAGUUUCUCUGUCUGUACAAUGGUCAUCAUAGCGGCCACUUUACAAGUUUACUGAAGACCUGAGACUACGUAAAGCAUCUGGUUCCUCAGAAUCACCAAUCUAAGUUAGACCUCAAUCUGCAUCACGCUCCUUCUCGCAUAGUAUCUGAUUUCCCUUCAUACUGCAAUUGCGUCCAUUAUAUAUUGGCAGGCUGAUUUUCUGAAUGUCUGUUCACGACUGUCAGUUUUACGACAACAUGGACAAUACCUGCUCUUCUCAACAUCAUCUCUUUAGUGCCUAGAAUGGUAGGCACUCAAGAAAUCUGUGAGUGAAUACCUAAAUGUCUGAAUGAAUAAAUGAAUUCAUGAAUAAAUGGAUAAGCAUACUUAUUUCUGUGCCAUGACUCUUAAGAAUCUCAGGGAAACUUCUCUCUGGUGAGGGGGACAGGUGUUAAUGUAGGAAGAGCAGAGAAUCAGAAAAUGCAGUUAGAAUAUUGGAGGGCCUCCAGGGGCCACCAGGGAAAGCAGCAGGUCUCCUCUCUGCCUCCUGGUGCUGCAUGGAACAGUCUCUGAGCAGGAAGGAAAUUACACAAACUUCCAGUUCAGCUGGUUCCAGGGUUUCACAACCCAGCUCUUUCUUUCUCGCUCAAAUCUGAUGUGCUAAUUCACUGGUGUAAUGUCUGACCUGUCUACUGGACAAUGACUCUGCGUGAUCCCCAUGCUGCCUUGCAAUAACCCUGAGUGGACGUCUAGAUUUUCCAAUAAAUUAGUCUUUGAAUCCAAUGCCACACAAUAACACUUUAUGGUGAGUUGGGGAGGAGGAGCAGGGAUAAACAGAUGCAAUAAAACUACUAGGCAUUUGAUAUGUUCUUGGAGUUCCACGAUAGAGGUAAGGAGAGGGAACUGAAGGAUACAAAGGAGGCUAUCUGGCCCUGCCUAAGGUGAAACAGUGUAGUCACAGUUGGAUAACAUUUAUAGCUUUCAAAAUAUAGGUGUUUUGUCUUUUUGGGUGUGUGUGUGUGUGUUCACUUAUGGCACGUGGAGGUUCCCAGGCUAGGGGUCAAAUGAGAGCUGUAGCCACUGGCUUAUACCACAGCCACAGCAACACCAGAUCGAGCCACAUCUGCGACCCACACCACAGCUCAUGGCAAUGCCCGAUCCUUAACCCACUGAGUGAGGUCAGGGAUCAAACCCAAGUCCUCAUGGAUACUAGUCAGAUUCAUCUGCCACUGAACCAUGAUGGGAACUCCUCAAAAUACAAUUAUGCAUACCAUAUCAUUUUAGUCUCCCUGUAGCCAUGGAAAAUGGAGGUAUGGAUAACAUUUGCAUUAUUUGCUCCCGAUAUCUAGGAAAACCGAGGCAUGAGGGAUUGGUUCAGGAUAUAGAUCUGGUUUGAGUCAGGCAGACAUGAACUCACAGCCCGGAUCUCGUGAUUACCAGUUUAGGGAUCUUUCUUUCUUCUGGACCUCACUGUCACACACUGGCCUUUAUAUUGUAUUGAUCAACAGGGUGAGGGUGCCUGCAAUGUCACAACCCCCACCCCCCAUCUUCUGUACUGUAUUUGCCAUGAACUUUUGUGAUGGAAUGUCAGAAUCUAAUAAAUUACGGGAUGGCCAGCCAAGGCCCACUGGGCUACAGGGGCCAUUGCUUUUGUAAAGCUGUGUGAAACACAGUCACAACCACUCAUUUCCUUUUAUCUAUGGCUGUUCUUGCCCUAUCAAGGCAGAGGUGAAUAGGUGCAACAGAAACUGUAUGACUCACAAAGUCUAAAAUAUUUACUAUUUGGUUCUAAUACAAAAAGUUUGUCAGCUCCUAGAAUAAAUGAAUGGAAAAGAAGCACAUGGAAGAAAAAUAGAGUCGUUCAUUCACAAUAGGCAGCGGGUAGAACUAAAAAAGAGAAUGAGGAUCAGCAAAAGAAUCACGUCUCUGUCACUUGGUCGACUUUGAACAAGUCAUUUAUACUCUCUGGGUCUGUUUCUGUAUCUAUCCCCUUAUAGAAGUACUGUAGGAUUUCCAUGAGGUAAUGUGUAUGUAUCAGAAAUAAUGAGGUUUAGCCCCACGGGACAGAAAACACAAACUUAGUGUGUUGCACAAGACCGCUAUUUCUUUCUUAAGAUGUGGAAGUGGGCAGUGGUGUUGGUUUGGUGCUUCCUGGUGUUAGGAACUCGAGCCCAUGCACCUUGGGUGUUUCUCUGUGGUUUUCAUUUCUGAAACUCUUUCAUGGCCCAAGAUGGCUGCUGGAGCUCCAGCCACUUCUCUAUUAUUGCUAUUACUACUACUGAUAGCAUGAUAAUAAGAGGAAACAAACCAAAAUCAAAUACAAACAUAUAUA